rnacentral:rRNA from 1 species
GAUGAACGCUGGCGGCGUGCCUAAUACAUGCAAGUCGAGCGAACGGACGAGAAGCUUGCUUCUCUGAUGUUAGCGGCGGACGGGUGAGUAACACGUGGAUAACCUACCUAUAAGACUGGGAUAACUUCGGGAAACCGGAGCUAAUACCGGAUAAUAUUUUGAACCGCAUGGUUCAAAAGUGAAAGACGGUCUUGCUGUCACUUAUAGAUGGAUCCGCGCUGCAUUAGCUAGUUGGUAAGGUAACGGCUUACCAAGGCAACGAUGCAUAGCCGACCUGAGAGGGUGAUCGGCCACACUGGAACUGAGACACGGUCCAGACUCCUACGGGAGGCAGCGGUAGGGAAUCUUCCGCAAUGGGCGAAGGCCUGACGGAGCAACGCCGCGUGAGUGAUGAAGGUCUUCGGAUCGUAAAACUCUGUUAUUAGGGAAGAACAUAUGUGUAAGUAACUGUGCACAUCUUGACGGUACCUAAUCAGAAAGCCACGGCUAACUACGUG